rnacentral:rRNA from 1 species
UACGUAGGGUGCGAGCGUUGUCCGGAAUUAUUGGGCGUAAAGAGCUUGUAGGCGGUCUGUCGCGUCUGCUGUGAAAAUCCGGGGCUCAACCCCGGGCCUGCAGUCGAUACGGGCAGGCUAGAGUCCGGCAGGGGAGACUGGAAUUCCUGGUGUAGCGGUGAAAUGCGCAGAUAUCAGGAGGAACACCGGUGGCGAAGGCGGGUCUCUGGGCCGGAACUGACGCUAAGGAGCGAAAGCGUGGGGAGCGAACAGG